rnacentral:tRNA from 1 species
GCCCGGGUGGCUCAGCGGUUGAGCGCCUGCCUUCGGCCCAGGGUGUGAUCCUGCAGUCCUGGGAUCGGGUCCCAUUUCGGGCU